GCAGUCUACCUUCCCUGUCUGGAGCCUCCUUCAACUCUCUUGAAUAGGACUUUGGCAGAAGAUCAGAACAGCUGAGUCAUCUUCAAGGAGGAGUUUUAUCACCACAUACACUCUAAGCCUUCCUCCAGUGGAAAAAUACCCAGUGCUUUCUGCAGCAGUCCUGAGUGCAGGGGUGGGAGAGCGGGGGCUUGAGUGAUGGUGGUGGCUUCCUUCUUGUCCCCAAGCCCCAAAUAAAUAAGUCCCUUUCCCUUUGCUAUACCUGAAGUGAAGGGGAGCCAGGUCUGCGGUGGCUUGGCUCCAGGCUACAGGGCACCAACACAGGAGCCUCCAAAUUUGUCUCAGUCUUGCCUGAGAAGCAUCAUUCACCAGCCAGGCUUCCUAUCCAGUCCUCUCCUGGCCCCUGCAGAGAAAUGGGAGCUCUGGGAAGAACAUGCUCUGCUAAGAAUAUAAGCCCUUGUAGGUCAUGAAGAAGAUGUGAGUGAGGUUCUCAUCUCCCUCAUGAAGACUCGAAGCCCCAGUGCUCAGGCCCUCAUCUUCAAAUUGAAAUCUCUUGCCUGGCCCUCUUGCCUGAAAUCCAGACUCCUAACAGCCGUCUCCUUGAAUCCUCCACUGGAUCGUCUAAAAGGCGUUUCAAACUUAACAAGACCACCACCUCCUAAUUCCUCGGCCCACCUCAUGGAAACCUUCCUCUCAUCAUGCUUAGGAGCAAGCCUGGCUCACAGAUGGGACAGACCAGAGUGCUGGGGAGAUAAUGCCUCCAGGAACAGACUGCAACCAGUAAAGGAUGGGAGUCAUUGAAUAAAUAUCCCAGGAAACUGGUUACACGGCUUCUUCGAUGCCCUGGAAGCACCGAGCUCUAAUUCCCCAGGGUGGUAACCUGUUUGUGAAAGCACCCUUUACUAGCUUCCAGCCAUCGUCUCACCCC
ensembl:lncRNA